AUUCUAUUAGUAUAUAGGUAUAUUUAAUUUCCAAUUAAAAGGAUUAAAUUUUUAAAUAGAAUA
rnacentral:tRNA from 1 species